rnacentral:rRNA from 1 species
CCUACGGGUGGCUGCAGUGGGGAAUAUUGGACAAUGGGGGGAACCCUGAUCCAGCCAUGCCGCGUGUGUGAAGAAGGCCCUCGGGUUGUAAAGCACUUUCAGUGAGGAAGAACGCCUGGUGGUUAAUACCCAUCAGGAAAGACAUCACUCACAGAAGAAGCACCGGCUAACUCCGUGCCAGCAGCCGCGGUAAUACGGAGGGUGCGAGCGUUAAUCGGAAUUACUGGGCGUAAAGCGCGCGUAGGUGGCUUGAUAAGCCGGUUGUGAAAGCCCCGGGCUCAACCUGGGAACGGCAUCCGGAACUGUCAAGCUAGAGUGCAGGAGAGGAAGGUAGAAUUCCCGGUGUAGCGGUGAAAUGCGUAGAGAUCGGGAGGAAUACCAGCGGCGAAGGCGGCCUUCUGGACUGACACUGACACUGAGGUGCGAAAGCGUGGGUAGCAAACAGGAUUAGAUACCCUAGUAGUC